AUGAAGGUCAGACUCAUCUGCACCCUGAACGGUUACUUUCCCAAAAACCUGAGUGUGGAGUGGCAGCAGAACAAGCAGCAGCUGACACAGAUCCAGCCCACAGAAAGACAUCUGCAGAGUGUGGAGGGGGGAGAGAAGACCUACAGUCUGACCUCUGAGAUUGAGCCAAACAUGGAAGAGUGGACAAGAGGCUCCAAUUUUACCUGCAAGUUCAUUCACAAGGAGAACAAAGAUGAAAAGACAACAAGUAUUUGUCACAUCUUUGGAUCCAAUCCUCCUUCCAUUCGUGUGGAGAUUCCCAGCUUCAAGACAGUGAUGAUGACCAACUCUGAUGUGAAAGCUAGAUGCUUCAUCCACAAUGUUGAUGCUAAGCUGGUCUGGCUGAUGGACGGGGAACAACCAUCCACUGACAGAGUGAAUGAAUUCUCAAACAAAACCACUUUAAUCAGUGAACUGACAGUUCCAUCCAGCAGCUGGAAAAACCUGAAACUUCUGAAAUGUAAAGUUCAGCAUCACUGCUUUUCUGCUGAGAAGACUGUAGAGAUUUCAGGUUCUGCAGUUUCAGCUCCUCAUGUGGACAUCAGGAGAUCUCUGUCAGACCUGCAGACAGAAAACAAUGAUGUGAAGCUGCACUGUGACCUUUCACAGCUCUCCUCACAGCACCUCUAUGUCACACUUCAGUCCAAAGGAGCUGACAUUUCUGACAAACAGUAUGUUGAUCUUCCUGAAGCUCCAGCCUCACAUACAGUCAGUGUCAGCUUCUCUGUUCCUCACAUCUACUGGAAGAGUGACCAGAGUUUCACCUGCAAAGUCCAUCAAGGCUUUUCCAGCCAGUCUUUUGAGUCCAAAGCUAUCAGUGUUUUUGUGGAUCCAUCAGUGGAAGUCCUUCAGGUCUCCAGUAAAGAGUCAGGACAACACAAACUCCUGUGUUCUGCAUCAGGCUUUAAUCCACAAAUUAGUUGGUUUUCUGACUCAGUUUCCAAAUCAGCAUCAAGCACAGACAUCAGCAUGGAUACAAAUGGACGUGUGACUGUAAUCAGUCGACUGGAGGUUCUUCAGACAGAGUGGAAAACAGGGAAGACCUUCACCUGUGAAGUGUUUGACAAGUUUCUAAAUAAACGUGACAGAAAGGACAUCAGCCUCUGUUCAGACCUUAAUCCUCCAACUGUGAGGAUUGUGGAACCAAGUGCUGCUGAACUCUCCGUGUCUGACAUUCUCCCACUAACCUGCUUAGUUUCUGGUUAUUUCCCAUCUAACAUCUCGGUGCAUUGGAAGGAGAAUGGUCAGAAAGUCUCAUCUUCUCGUUACAUUAACAGUCCUUCAUUCAAGGAUCCAGACAGCAGCUCUUAUUCAAUGAGCAGCAGACUGAAUGUGUCUCAAACUAAUGACAAGAAGUCAACUUAUACUUGUGUUGUGAGACAUGAAUCCUCCAACAGUCCAUUUGAAAGCAGUAUAAAGGAUGUUUUUGAUGUGCUGUUUAGGUCGCCCAAUCUCACAACAAGUUUUUCCCUUGAUGAGGAAAAGCAACAGGCUUCUUUCUACUGCUUUGCCAAAGAUUUUUCUCCUAGGACCCAUGAGAUCAUUUGGCAGAAAGUUGGCAGCGAAAAAGCCAGCAUCCUUGAUGAGACCAGUGUUUUCUCAGAGGGAAGAAAUGACACAAAUGGAGCUAAGCUGUAUUCUGCAGCAAGUUUGCUCACAGUAAACCCCACUGAGCUGACUUCUGGAGCAACAUUUACAUGUGUGUUCAAGGGGAAAGGUGUGAACAAUACUGACGUGUUGGAAAAGGCUAAUGCCACCUACAAGGAAGAAUCUUCUGGAGUCCCACCAGAGUUUCUGCAUGAAACUGUUUGCUCCUGCAAAGAGGAGAUGGAAGCAGAGGAAGACCACAUGGCAAACACAGCCCUGACCUUCAUCUUCCUCUUCAUCAUGACUUUGUUGUUCACUGUUGGAACCAAAUUUUCAAAGAUCAAAUGAAAAAAGGAAGAAUCA